UACGGAGGGUGCAAACGUUGCUCGGAAUCAUUGGGCGUAAAGCGCACGUAGGCGGCUUCUUAAGUCGGGUGUGAAAGCCCUCGGCUCAACCGAGGAAGUGCAUUCGAAACUGAGGGGCUUGAAUACUGGAGAGAAUGGCGGAAUUCCCGGUGUAGAGGUGAAAUUCGUAGAUAUCGGGAGGAACACCAGCGGCGAAGGCGGCCAUCUGGACAGAUAUUGACGCUGAGGUGCGAAAGCGUGGGGAGCAAACAGG
rnacentral:rRNA from 1 species